AAUCUCAAAAAGAAAAAAACAAAAAAAAAAACAAAACAAAAAAAUGUUCAAA
rnacentral:ribozyme from 13 species